UAAAUACUACUGACUGACCGAUAGUGAACCAGUACCGUGAGGGAAAGGCGAAAAGAACCCCGGAGAGGGGAGUGAAAUAGAACCUGAAACCGUAUGCGUACAAGCAGUGGGAGCCUACUUGUUAGGUGACUGCGUACCUUUUGUAUAAUGGGUCAGCGACUUAUAUUCAGUGGCAAGCUUAACCGUAUAGGGUAGGCGUAGCGAAAGCGAGUCUUAAUAGGGCGUUUAGUCGCUGGGUAUAGACCCGAAACCGGGCGAUCUAUCCAUGAGCAGGUUGAAGGUUAGGUAACACUGACUGGAGGACCGAACCCACUCCCGUUGAAAAGGUAGGGGAUGACUUGUGGAUCGGAGUGAAAGGCUAAUCAAGCUCGGAGAUAGCUGGUUCUCCUCGAAAGCUAUUUAGGUAGCGCCUCAUGUAUCACUCUGGGGGGUAGAGCACUGUUUCGGCUAGGGGGUCAUCCCGACUUACCAAACCGAUGCAAACUCCGAAUACCCAGAAGUGCCGAGCAUGGGAGACACACGGCGGGUGCUAACGUCCGUCGUGAAAAGGGAAACAACCCAGACCGCCAGCUAAGGUCCCAAAGUUGUGGUUAAGUGGUAAACGAUGUGGGAAGGCUUAGACAGCUAGGAGGUUGGCUUAGAAGCAGCCACCCUUUAAAGAAAGCGUAAUAGCUCACUAGUCGAGUCGGCCUGCGCGGAAGAUGUAACGGGGCUCAAACCACACACCGAAGCUGCGGGUGUCACGUAAGUGACGCGGUAGAGGAGCGUUCUGUAAGCCUGUGAAGGUGAGUUGAGAAGCUUGCUGGAGGUAUCAGAAGUGCGAAUGCUGACAUGAGUAACGACAAUGGGUGUGAAAAACACCCACGCCGAAAGACCAAGGGUUCCUGCGCAACGUUAAUCGACGCAGGGUUAGUCGGUUCCUAAGGCGAGGCUGAAAAGCGUAGUCGAUGGGAAACAGGUUAAUAUUCCUGUACUUCUGGUUACUGCGAUGGAGGGACGGAGAAGGCUAGGCCAGCUUGGCGUUGGUUGUCCAAGUUUAAGGUGGUAGGCUGAAAUCUUAGGUAAAUCCGGGGUUUCAAGGCCGAGAGCUGAUGACGAGUCGUCUUUUAGAUGACGAAGUGGUUGAUGCCAUGCUUCCAAGAAAAGCUUCUAAGCUUCAGGUAACCAGGAACCGUACCCCAAACCGACACAGGUGGUCGGGUAGAGAAUACCAAGGCGCUUGAGAGAACUCGGGUGAAGGAACUAGGCAAAAUGGCACCGUAACUUCGGGAGAAGGUGCGCCGGCUAGGGUGAAGGAUUUACUCCGUAAGCUCUGGCUGGUCGAAGAUACCAGGCCGCUGCGACUGUUUAUUAAAAACACAGCACUCUGCAAACACGAAAGUGGACGUAUAGGGUGUGACGCCUGCCCGGUGCCGGAAGGUUAAUUGAUGGGGUUAGCGCAAGCGAAGCUCUUGAUCGAAGCCCCGGUAAACGGCGGCCGUAACUAUAACGGUCCUAAGGUAGCGAAAUUCCUUGUCGGGUAAGUUCCGACCUGCACGAAUGGCGUAACGAUGGCGGCGCUGUCUCCACCCGAGACUCAGUGAAAUUGAAAUCGCUGUGAAGAUGCAGUGUAUCCGCGGCUAGACGGAAAGACCCCGUGAACCUUUACUGUAGCUUUGCACUGGACUUUGAGCCUGCUUGUGUAGGAUAGGUGGGAGGCUUUGAAGCGUGGACGCCAGUUCGCGUGGAGCCAUCCUUGAAAUACCACCCUGGCAUGCUUGAGGUUCUAACUCUGGUCCGUGAUCCGGAUCGAGGACAGUGUAUGGUGGGCAGUUUGACUGGGGCGGUCUCCUCCUAAAGAGUAACGGAGGAGUACGAAGGUGCGCUCAGACCGGUCGGAAAUCGGUCGCAGAGUAUAAAGGCAAAAGCGCGCUUGACUGCGAGACAGACACGUCGAGCAGGUACGAAAGUAGGUCUUAGUGAUCCGGUGGUUCUGUAUGGAAGGGCCAUCGCUCAACGGAUAAAAGGUACUCCGGGGAUAACAGGCUGAUACCGCCCAAGAGUUCAUAUCGACGGCGGUGUUUGGCACCUCGAUGUCGGCUCAUCACAUCCUGGGGCUGAAGCCGGUCCCAAGGGUAUGGCUGUUCGCCAUUUAAAGUGGUACGCGAGCUGGGUUUAGAACGUCGUGAGACAGUUCGGUCCCUAUCUGCCGUGGACGUUUGAGAUUUGAGAGGGGCUGCUCCUAGUACGAGAGGACCGGAGUGGACGAACCUCUGGUGUUCCGGUUGUCACGCCAGUGGCAUUGCCGGGUAGCUAUGUUCGGAAAAGAUAACCGCUGAAAGCAUCUAAGCGGGAAACUUGCCUCAAGAUGAGAUCUCACUGGGAACUUGAUUCCCCUGAAGGGCCGUCGAAGACUACGACGUUGAUAGGCUGGGUGUGUAAGCGUUGUGAGGCGUUGAGCUAACCAGUACUAAUUGCCCGUGAGGCUUGACCAU
rnacentral:rRNA from 1 species